rnacentral:rRNA from 1 species
AACGAACGCUGGCGGCGUGCUUAACACAUGCAAGUCGUGCGUGAAAGGGGUUCGCCCCGAGUAAAGCGGCAGACGGGUGAGUAACACGUGGGUAACCUGUCCUUGGGUGGGGGAUAACUACUCGAAAGGGUGGCUAAUACCGCAUAAGACCACGGCCUUGCGGGGCUGCGGUCAAAGGUGCAAAUCGCCUGAGGAGGGGCCCGCGGCCGAUUAGCUAGUUGGUAGGGUAAUGGCCUACCAAGGCGACGAUCGGUAGCUGGUCUGAGAGGAUGAACAGCCACACUGGUACUGAGACACGGACCAGACUCCUACGGGAGGCAGCAGUGGGGAAUAUUGCGCAAUGGGCGAAAGCCUGACGCAACAACGCCGCGUGGGUGAUGAAGGCCUUCGGGUCGUAAAGCCCUGUCAGAUGGGACGAAACCUGCGCAAGCAGCUGACGGUACCAUCGAAGGAAGCACCGGCUAACUCCGUGCCAGCAGCCGCCGUAACAC